GAAGUAUUCUUCUGCUCCGAGCUUGGUCAUCAGUGAAACUGAAUACAUCUCUGUCACUUCAUGAAACAUUUCCUUAUUUGACAAAGAAAUUAAAGGAUCACAGUCACUUUGUGCUUCUUGUGUUAAUGGAAGCCUUGAUGUCCAACCUGAAGAGGGACAUACAAAGGUCCGAUUUGUAAAUACCAAGUUCUGCACAGUGAAAAGAGCAGGACGUGACAUGGUGACAGAGUUGUUUUUGAAGAUUUGACUGAGCAGAAUGCAGGCCUUAAAACAUCCACAUCCAGCAGAAGAAAGAACUGGUGUGAAAGUGAAAGAACUAUCAAAACUCACCAUGUCCAUUUUACCACUGAAAUCACUGCUUUGUGGGUGGAGCUUGGAGUCAACGCAGGAAAAAACAGAAAGGUGCUCAACAACAUCUCCACUGCAGUCAAGCAGGAACCUAUGACCAGCUAAGGUAGUGGCCGCUGAAGGUACUGCAACUCAGAGCUAAAUUAACUCUAAAAGAGCAGGAGGAAAAUUGUCAACAGUUCAAGGUGGCAUUAAAGUCCUUCAAAAAGCUAAAAGAUCGCCACAAAAUUUCCAACACAAUUUGAAAGCAAUGGAUCUCCUUUCUGAGUUUAUUUUGUUCCGACAAUGAAGCGAGAUGUUUUCUGGACUUCAAUAUUUCCGAACCAGAUAAAGAAGCCAUUCAAAUUAAAAUUGCUAUAGUCACUGAUGGCCUCCACAGACAGAACACAUCAGGUCUGUCUGAUGAUCAUCUGAAAAAUCUGGAUAAUAUAUGGUCAUCACUUGAAGAUCAAUUAUGGGUGCAGCUCAACUUCUGAAUAUAAUGUCAGGAAUUCUUGUCCUAUAGGCAACAUCUGACAGGGACCAUAGGCCAAUUCAUAACUAGAUACAGAGACAAGAGGCAUGAUUGUUUUAUGGCAGCUGAGCUAGCUGACAGAAUAGUCAAGCUUGCGAUAGCAUCUACCCCAACGGAAGUGUUUGGAAAAGGUUACAUUGUGGAAGCACUGCUACCAAGUGGACGCAAGUAUGAAACCAUACUAAUGGGUAGACAGAGUCUAGGCAAUGCAUAAUUCAUCUAUCGUUGGCACAACAGCCAAAGCAGGAAAACCUAAUAAACAAUGCCUCGGUAACUACCCAGCUUUUAAUGCUGUAUGCAAAGUACAUGGCAUUGAAAGACAUUGGAAGUGCAAAUGCAGAAAACAAAGACCAAAAUAAGUGAUUCAACACCAUGAAAAUUCACGACCAGAGGCCAGACUGGUAUGGCAUUCCAAUCAACCAAAAGCCCAUAUCAGAUAGCAUGAAGACAAGAUCCACAAAAUACUUAGCCAUACUGCCAGUGAUGAGAAUGACCAGAACACACAAAGUGAGCAAACAUUCAGCAUGGUGAAAUCAAACAAUGUAUUGGCACAGUGCCGAUAAACAGACUAAAUGCCCACAGAUGAAGGGUCAGAAUAUAUGCAAAACUGGAUAUGGGUGCAGGUAGAAACAUCCUUGCAUUCUGUACACUGAAAUGUAUGUACUUACUGAACUGGCAAAUGAUGAUUCAGCCAACCAAUGGCAAGCUCACCAUGUACAAUGACUCGAAGAUACUGUUCCUGGGAUCCAUUACAUUCAAGUGUCGCUACAAAACUCACUAUAGUCACCCGAGAUAGCUUUGUGGACACCACAAGUCCAAUGAUCGCAGGCCUACUGGAGUGCAAAGAUAUGUCCUUUGUCACCAGCCAUAGUAUUAUCAAGACAAUGAUGAGGACCAGAGACCAUUGGAGACCAAAGGAGCACCAUUGGAGACCCUGGCAGAAGUUCACCUAACUUUACAAUGCAGAUCAUCAGCUAACAGGCUACACAGCACAGUUGGAAUUGAAUACAUAUACAUAUUCCAAACAUGCAAACAUGGCACUGAGGACCCAUGCAGAAUUAUUAUUUUGCAGAUGAUUGUGGACAAACCUCCCCAGCCAUCACUAGUUGAUACUUGAGCGCAUGAUGCAUCACUCGAAAAAUGGGGGAAGAUGAAAGAAGUUAGAGGAACUUGGGUAAUGAAUUGCCCAACCUGUACAUCAGACAGAAAGUUCGAGUCCAAGACUAAACUGGUGGCACCUGGAAUUCAGCAAAAAUUGUCAGCAUACCAGAACCAAGAUCAUAUCAAUAUGAACAUCAAAUGGUAUGACAGAAAAUGCGACAAAACAGGCCAAGUCAGAACAAUACCAGAACCAGAAACACUAAGCAGUCAUAUUGCGAACAGAACAUAGUCAACACAAUACAAAGCACCACUAACAUUCUGAAAACAUAUGGCAGCCUCCGGCAAGGAUUAUUAUAACUAAGCCUGCACAGAUAAGUAAACCACUGAUACGUUUCAGAGACUUGUAAAUUUAUGGCUGUGUUAAUGUUUAUUCAAUGAUAAUGUUUUUUUUUAUUUUGCUUUCAUGUAAAUAGUUUGAUUCUUUAAAGAUAAACCUUGAAUUUAGAAAAAAGUGGGAUGUUGUGAUAUGAGGUGCAUGUACGUUUAAAGGAGAGUAUCAUAACUGCUGUCAAUCAUUACCAACCUCCAAAGAAUGUGACAUAUUAGUCUCAUGGUUUGUAGUCAGUCUACUGGCAGAAGGGAUAGAGAUUAGAUAUACUCUACUUAGUCUCCCAGCCAGCAUUAUCUGUAUAUAGUCUUAUCCUCAAAUAAAGAACCCACAUUAUUGUUUUACUAGUCCUUGGGUGUGAUUGGUGCAUUUAUAUUGAAGAGAAGAAAAAUGGGAGUCAGUUCUUUGUUUUGGGUUUAUCUGUGUGUUCUUUCACUGAAGUUAGCUUUGAAACAGAAUUUUUUUGUCUGGAGCUAGAGCAGCUAAGGAACAGGCAGAGAGAGAAAAGCUGCCAGGAGCUGUUGACCACUAAGCAAGUAGGCAAGCGAAGCCCAUGCUUGAGCUGGGAUGUCAACAAUUAAGGAGAAUUGGAGGGUUACCUGGUCAAAUGCUAAUGGAAGGAAAUCUCAUACCUCAGAGAAUAGCAGGAAUUCUGAGGAGAAUCAAAGUGAAUCCCUAAGAGCUGUGGCACAUGUUGGUUUAGUCCCAGGUGAAGUGAAGGAAACCUCAAGGUCCUGGAAAGUAUAGUGGAACUCUUGGGUGGAAAGAUACAUAGAAUGGGGAGCGACCCAUUGUGAUUUUUGGGCUUGAGGAAUAAUUGUUUACAAAAUA